rnacentral:rRNA from 1 species
GUUGCAUGAUUUGAAAAAAUCAUGCAAAUUGAGUAUACGUAACAUUCUUUAUUGAAUGUUACAUUACCCUCCCUUUUUAUUUUUAUUUUAUUUUUUUAAAUUAUCAAACACAAGUUUAAAUGAAUGUAACCAAACCUUUAAUUAUAAAUAACUUUUAACAAUGGAUCUCUAGGCUCUCACAUCGAUGAAGAACACAGCGAAAUGUGAUAAGUAAUGUGAAUUGCAGAAUUCAGUGAAUCAUCGAAUCUUUGAACGCAUCUUGCGCCUUUUGGUAUUCCAAAAGGCACACCUGUUUGAGUGUCAUGAAACCCUCUCAUUAAAUCAUUUUUAUUAAUGUUUUUAAUGGAUGUUGAGUGUUGCUGUUAUUAGCUCACUUUAAAUAUAUAAGUCACUUUUCAAUAAGUUGGAUUGACUUGGUGUAAUAAUUUUAUCAUCACAUCAAGGAAAGUAGCAAUACUGCCAUCUUGUUCUUGAAGAGAGACUCCUAAAAACCCCUCUAUUCAUUUUAAGACCUCAAAUCAGGUGGGACUACCCGCUGAACUUAAGCAUAUCAAUAAGCGGAGGA